CCGUUCUUCGGUCAAGGGUAUUCGAGCAGCUGUGCUCCCCGGCUAGAACCUCCGAACAAGCUCUCAAGGAAACCUGAAGUGGUGGGGCUAGCUGUCACUGCUGAGUUCAGGAGCACUCUAGCUGCUGUUUUGU
rnacentral:snRNA from 1 species